GAUGAACGCUAGCGGCAGGCCUAAUACAUGCGAGUCGAACGGUGUUGCAAUACACAGUGGCGCACGGGUGCGUAACACGUAUGCAACCUACCUUACAUUGGGGGAUAGCCUUUCGAAAGGGAGAUUAAUACCGCAUAAGACAGUAACUAGGCAUCUAGUAGCUGUUAAAGAUUUAUCGAUGUAAGCUGGGCAUGCGUCCAAUUAGUUAGUUGGCGAGGUAAUGGCUCACCAAGACGAUGAUUGGUAGGGGAACUGAGAGGUCAAUCCCCCACACUGGCACUGAGAUACGGGCCAGACUCCUACGGGAGGCAGCAGUAGGGAAUAUUGGGCAAUGGGCGCAAGCCUGACCCAGCCAUGCCGCGUGCAGGAAGAAGGCGUUAUGCGUUGUAAACUGCUUUUAUACAGGAAGAAACGACCCUUGCGAGGGGCAUUGACGGUACUGUAUGAAUAAGCACCGGCUAACUCCGUGCCAGCCGCCGCAGUAAGAC
rnacentral:rRNA from 1 species